UUUAUGCAAAUGCAUAUUUUGCAUAUAUUUUUUACAUAUAUCAAUAUAAUUAAAAAGAAAUAAAAUCAAGACAUAUUUGUUUCAUCUAUUAAGUGUUAUAAUGAGCACAGUAUUUGGAUUAUUUUUUAUAUAUUUUCGCACAUUAUUUCGCACAUUCUAUAAAUUUUUACGCCCUCGAAUUUGCAAUUUAAUUACCAGUAUCUGUUCAAUGAAAAUUAAUUCCAACUAGCACGGUGCCCAUAUCUCGGCUGAAUAAGAUCGCAAAGGGUUAAAAAAGAAAUAGUAACGUCCGCAAAAAAAGAAAUAAUUUUAAAAAGUGGAAAAAAUAAAAGAAAAAAAAAAAGAAAAAAAAAGGAAAAGAUUGAUCGGAGGAAACUAGGUAACGAUCAAGAAAUAACAAUUAACACUGAGCCCAUUUGCGUUGCGGUGGCUAGCGGCAGUGGCAGCGUCAGAGGAAGGCGUCGCAGGGGGCUUGGCGGGAUUGGUGCGUUGAGGGGUGGCGGUAGUGGUGGCCUUGGAAGGGGUGACACCGGGAUGCCCUCGCGUUGGUAUACGCUACUGGCGCUGCCCUUCCCCGACCAGCACCUGGGGCGCCGCGACUUGACGGCUCGCCGCGGCACCGAUCAUCCUUAUUCCUUCGGCCUCUCGGCGGCCCAUCGCGCUGGAUACCUUUCCAACCCUGUCCUUUAAGAUUAUCAAACAAUUACUUCCUAUAUAGUCUAUAUAUAUACAUAUAUAGUCCACCAUUAUCGCCUUCACCCUCCACGCAACCACCGCCCACCACUACAUCAACCAUCACCACGUACCACUACAACCGCCAUGCGCCACCCUCGCGAGUGAUUACUAGUCAAGAAAUCGCGGUAGAAGCAGCAAGCAUUACCGACACCGUGCAUCUCCAGAUUGCAAUACCGUGGCCAGCUUUGGAAGCAGUUCCUCUGAGAGUCGAGGAGGACUGAAUCGAUAUUACCGUCAAGCUUGGGAAAAUCUGCAUGAGACGGCCGGUCAUAAGACCAAUCAUCCUCCUCUUCGUCGCAAGGAGACCCUGGAUGAACCAGGAUACCGAGAAAAUUACCGUGGCAACAACACCGAGAGAGAUGGUUCAGAAUUAGUUGUGAGCGAUGUAGCCACGUACCCGUCUAACAAGCACGCCAGCAUUUCUGACAAGAAACGCCAUCAUCAUCAUCAUCAUCAUCACCACGGUAACUCUACGCCCGAGUGGAGGCAGUCUCAGUCUCAUCACAGAUACUAAACAUAAAAUCGGUUACCUAGAACCGCUUAUUUUUUUGAGAUUUUCGGUGAAUCGAUUAUUGUGACGAGUCGCGAUUAGAUCACGAGCAAGUUGUAUUUUUUAUGCUGUAUGCAUAUUUUAUAAAUGGUGACGCACUGGAAGAUGGUGACUUUAUGUUAGGAAAUACGUACAAAAUGUAAGGUAAAUUUCUUUCAAUAUAGAGUUUUAAUUUCAGCAAAUGUAUUUUUGAUUAUUUGUUGAAUGUGAAAGAUAUAAUUAAUUGAAUGUUUAUUUGGUAAUAUUUGGAUUUAAAAAUAUUUGUACAGACAAAUUUGUUUACAUAAAUGAAAUACUUCUUGUGUAUGUGUAUUUUUAUAUAUAAGAACAUCUCUUUUUUAUUUCUUCAAUACAGUAAUAUGUGAAUUUUAUAUAUUGAUCUGAUUCUUUAAGAAAAAAAUUGAUGAAUUCAUACAUUGCUUUAAUUUCAAUUUUAAUUUCUAAAUAACUUUAUUUUUUAUAGAAAAGCACAUCUAUCUCAAAAUCUUUUGAGGUGGAUCGUUGACAUUUUCUAUAAUAUUCUAGAUCUAAAUUACACAUAUACAUUUUGAAACAUGUAUAAAAUCUUGUGUUUAAAAUUCAACUAACUGUUUCUAGUAAUUCAGCUAAUUCUAAGUUAGAAUAUCAAAAAUGUAUAUUGUUUUCCAUUUACAAUUCAAAGUUUACUUAGAAGAAUGUAUAUUUAACAUGAAUUAUAAAUCUUUGUCCCAAAUUUUUUCAAGAAAUAUGUAUAUGUAUAUCUAAUAUUCUUAGAACAAUAUUUUGUAGUCAUUUGACGAAGAAAUUAGUAAAAUAAAAUAUUACCAAAUGCAUAUAUAUCAUAACAAACGUUUGACAAAUAUUUAAAAUCAUUUUUUUUAGAAAUAAAGUUUCAUGUGAAUAAAUUUUCUUAUAUUUCAUCUUCUUUUUAGCAUUAAAUCACCAUCCAUCCAUGUAUUCUGCUAUAUCAUUUAUGAAAUAAUUUGUAACUCCAUUUAAAAUGGAAACUUAAAAGAACAUGGUGAACAAUUCAAACGUUGCGUAGGAGAAUUUUUAAGCGUGAUUCAUAGAUAGAAAAACUAAUUCAUCCUACAUUUAUUGUUCUGUUAUACAGUAAAUUAUUUACGACUACCUUGUUACGUAAUGUAAAUACCGUAUACUGCAGUAGCGUAAGUCAAAGAUGAAAGUUGUGAAUGUAGGAGGAUCACGAGUUGAUCGAAGGAUAUGCCAAAAAAAUGAGAGAGUAAUAUAUGUAUAUGUAUAAUUACUGAUCAAACGAAUUCUAAUAAUUUUUAAACGAAUUCUAUACAAACUAUUAUAAGAAUGUUCGAUUAUAAUAGGAUUGACAAUAUUUUAUGAAAAUCAUACGCAUACUCGGUUGAUCAAUAUCUGUAAUGGGCACCUUGGCCUCGCCUUAAAGGAAUCGAACAAACUCAUAACGAAACGAUAUUCGAAGAUGGUACCGUUAAGGAAAGGCCGACGCUAUACAUAUCAGAAUCAAAAUUCAUUUAGUUAUGGUGCUCAUUUUAAGACACUUUGCACUUAUUCAAAUUCAUGUCGGAUCUGUUUUUGCAGAUUUUAAAACACCUUAAUUAAUUAUUUGUGUUUAGUAUUAUUUUAACCAGUUGAACAUCUUUUCUCAUGCUUGUCAAGAAUAGAACAUAUAUAAUUAAUAGAUAUGUAUUUAAUCAUUGACUGACGUAAGAUAUUCGUAGUAAGUUUGUACAUGUAUUUAUUUAAUACUUCAGUAAUCUACAAAAAAUUGUAAUAGUGCCAUUAUAGGCAAACUUGUUUAAUUGUAUCUAUACAUGCAUUCUAGUUGUUUAAACAUAAACACAGAAUGGUGAACACUCGUGUAUCUUCAGUAACUUGUUAUGUACGUACAUAGUUAGUUUUAGUCUUAGUUAUGCACGAAUUGUUUCAACUAAAAAUAUUUAUGUAUCAUAAUUGUUUCACAGAAGUUCAUAAAGGAAAAUACAAAUUGUUCAAAAAGUUAAUAAGAUAAAUUUAAUUCUUUUAAUACA